UAAUACCGCAAUUUUUUUUAAUUAAACAAUAAUCGAUGAGCGACGAGAGAAAAAAAAACGGAUGGCGCAUCCUUGUUUGAGGGAAGCUACUAAUGCCUCUCAAAUGUGAUCCCUAAUUCUCCAGCUAAUUUCACUUCUCUCUUGUGAAAAGAGUCACAAAUUCUACAGAUUCUGCAGCUGAGGCCAAGAUACAAAGGAUCAUUUUGUCGGAUUCUUUUGCUAUUCAUCAGAAUCGUGGAGCAGGAAAAAUCAAAUCAGGAAAUCAGAUUGGAGAAUUAAUUAUAAACGCUUCUGUAUAUACUCUAUGCACAUGUGCGGUAGGGCACGUCUCCUUUGCGAGAGCUUGACAAAACGUAAUGGCUGGUCGUGACGAACUGCGUACGCAUCCGUAAUAUGGCUGGCAAGGGGACCGAAAUUAAAUACGCCGAAAUAAAUCAUCUGGCCGAAAUUAAAUACGCCCAUGGUCACCAUCCCUUCGAUCGUUCGAUCGAGUGGAUGCCGAGUGGCGGAUAAUACGAACGUCGAUAGCGCCGAUCUCAAUCUCAAACACAAGAAGUCCUGGAAGUGAUGUUCGUUUAUAUCAGCCAACCACUUGCAAACGAUACAUUGAUAAUGUAUAGAAACGGCAUAUCUACACUUAUUUGAUCACAUUUUAAUGCGUUUAUUUAUUAUAUGAUCUGAAGAGGGCUCAAAGUU